rnacentral:lncRNA from 1 species
AUUUGUUUUCCCUCCAAAAUUGAUACUGGUAAAAAAUCGAUACAUAUUGGCCCCACUUGCAAUUGUUUGUGCAAAUUUUGAAUUCUAUCGAUAGCUUAAAUUAAACACGGCUAAUUAGAAUAUUAGUGUCGUCUGAUUUCGAUUUGUUCACCAGUGACCAGUUUCGAGUUUCAAUCAAGAGAUGAGGUCAAGAUUAAAUACAGUGGUUGUACGAAAAGAAGCACAGCAACUAAAUUUACAUAAACGUGGUCUUCGUGCCAACUCUAGUCGUGUCUCUUUAUAGAAGAGCUUAAUACACACCAUUCUGUUAAGUAGAUUUGAGGCCUGAGCCAGCUGUGAUAUACCAACAAGAUAUGCAAGUUCUGCAUGUUCUGGACCUGCCGUCAGCAACAAUCUUUGUGUCAACAUCUGGAUAAACAGCAUCUCAUUCCACUGGAGAAACUGUCGCCCGAGUUACGGAUCUCUUCUUCCCCCAUCUUCAAAUGUCCUCGUGUACACCCAUGUGAGUGUGGGGGUAUUCACGAGGACGCCCUGGCCACCUGAUGGAUUCAACUUUCCUGCGGAUGGAUGGAGCGACUGUGGAUGCCUGGACGUAUUUCCCAGGCUCAAAGGUAGGGACAAAUGUCUCUCUCUAUUCUUUGACUAAGAGGGGAAUAACGUAACCGACAAUUUCCACAUCACCAAAGAUAAUUACGUAGUCAAAUUUCUACGUUUUGUACGCGUAUCAUCUUCGGCUAUAAAUCCCGUACUAUAAUUGUGCCGACACUCUUACGCCAAGUUUUUGUGGGCGAGAAAGAGGCGAUUCUUAAUCAUCAGAGAGGAACCGCAACUGUCGUCGUAUAAGAUACGAUCCAUCACGAAGGGGGGGCUCUCUACCCGCGCACUUGAACGGCUAUUAACGCUACCACCGCCGAGCUGUUUGUUUCUAGGGGAAAGCGGCCGGCUUGAAAAGUCAAUCGACUGUGCAGUAACAUAACAAAAGCGGAAGCCUCUCUACUAUGGGAACCAGAAAGAAAAAAGAAUUCCGCCUGUUGCUUCACAGCAGCCAGAAAAAGAAACGUGUUGCCUGGAAAAACGGCGAAAGUUUUACCUUUUUUCUUGUAUGCCUUCACGCCGCCGUGCAUGAUUGAUUCCAAAAACAGCCACCAACUCCCUAUAGACAUUUUCUUUUAAAUGUCAAAGUGAGAUUGCUUGACUUGAGAUUUUAGGCAUCUUUUUUUCCUUCAAAAUUAUAUCAUCCGGGCACCUUAGGGCCAGCAACCUCCGACCAAAUGAUGAAGUUGCUAUCCACUCGUUUUUAAUUUGUCGUUAUUAAAAAAAAAAAGACCCGCCAUUUUCUUCAACAGGGAAGUGAGAAAAGCGAAACAAUUAUUUUACAGUUUCUACUUAUAAUUCAAGCGAGGAUAUAAUAAGAUGAAGAUGGUCAUUUCCCUUUCGGCCACAGCCGGGCAUAGGUGGUCAGUGCCCCCUCUCUCUCUGUUAUAGAGGACAAAUUCUCUUAUUAAUAUCAGCUGUUGGAUGCGUACAAUCUCACACGUUUCAAACUAAAAAAAUAAUAAAAUAAAAUAUCGAAAAGGGACAGUGGACUCUUGUUUUCGUUCAAAAGUCCAAGAGCGGAAAGCAACGGUGCAAUAUCCCAUUCCGUUUGACAAAGUGGUAACGA